ensembl:lncRNA
CUCUGUUUGAGAUUAACACAAUAAAUUUUUUUCAUGAUGAAGUUAGAAUUUGCGAGUUCAUAUGUCAUGCAAUUAAAUCUCACAAUUCUGGCUUUUUUCUCAGAAAUCUUACUUUUUGUUUCUAGCAAUUCUGAGUAGCCUAUAUAGUAUCUCACAUUUCUGAGAAAAACAAGUCAAAAUUGUGAGAUAUAAACUUAGAAUUGCAAGAGAAGUAAACUUGCAAUUACCUGAUUCCGUGUUUGAAACAAACUUGUUUUCUCACAAUUCACACUUUUUUUUCUGGGAAUUGCAACAAAGUCCCUUUCAAGGAAAGUCUGUUCACUCGGCCGCCAUAUUUGUAACGCCUCAGGGCAACUCAAACAAGACCAAGCAUCUAAAUGAAUGGGGGAAUCCUUAAAUCUCAAAAACUGCUUGCUUAACUCACAAUUAAAUUACAUAUUUGAAAGUGGCGUGACAUACAACCAAGUAUGGUGACCCAUACUCAGAAUUGGUGCUCUGCAUUUAACCCACCCAAAGUGCACACACACAGCAGUGAACACACACACACCGUGAACACACACCCGGAGCAGUGGGCAGCCAUUUAUGCUGCGGCGCCCGGGGAGCAGUUGGUGGGGGUGUGGCCCGAGACUCGAACCCACAACCUUAGAGUUAGGAGUCAAACUCUCUAACCACUAGGCCAUGACUUCCCCCUUUCAAAUCAUCAACAAAAUCUGAAAUUAACUGCCCCUUGAAUGUUGUUUCUUAUGCUCAAAUAGGUUUUAAAGCUUAUUUUUCAGGCUAGACCAGCCAAUGCGCAUGCAUAGUGCAUGUGCCAGGGUUGCCAGGUUUUCGCAACAAAACCCUCCCAAUUGCUACUCAAAACUAGCCCAAUCACAUUUCGAGGGGGUCCCUCGAUAAAAAUUGCCAAAGUUCUUUGGCAGGGUUCCCCUGGUAAAAUUAGCAUUUUAGGGGCUAAAUAUCAUGUUAUUGCAGUCGCAACACUACAAGCAUCGGCUGCUCUAGCCUCCGGUUUCUAUGGGAACUGGAGCUUCUAACUGCCGCUGCAGUGAUGCAAUAACUUUACCAAUCAAUGAUUGGCUCUUUCAUUUAGAAGCCAGGACUAUCCUGCCAUAUUGCGCAUUACAGUAGGUGCAUUUCCAUUACAAAUUUGCGUAUAACUUUGGC